UUAAGUUUCAGAACAAACGGAUUCAGACUUUCAGUGGGUGCAGAUCAACAGUUGCGCAACUUUCUUGCAGACAUGUCAACCAUUGCCGUUUUCCUUUCCCUUCCGAUCUUCGCAAGCUUUUGCAGACGAGCUCAAAGUGAGGCCUGGAGAAGAUUCCAUUCUUCAGUGUCAGGGUCCUGGAGGUGAUGUCAUCAUCCUGUUCGAGUGGAGAAGAUCUGAUCUCAAGUCAGACACCUAUGUGUUCUUCUUCUGAAACCAGCGUCCAUAUGAAAACUACCAGCAUGAGUUCUUCAAAGGCCGAGUGGAGCUGAGAGAUCCAUCCAUGAAGGACGGAGACGUUUCAGUGAUUCUGAAGAAUGUCAGCACCAGCGAUACAGGAACAUACGAGUGUGAGAUUACAGCCAGGAAUAAAGAAGGUGUCACAACUGAGACUAAGCACUCUGUCAACCUCACAGUCACCACCUCAGGUUUCAUAGAUGAAGACACCAAGGAUGGAGGAGACAAGGAUGGAAGAGACAGGGAUAAGUUGCUUCCUUUCAUAAUACUUCUUUGGUUUUUAUUUUCUUUAUAAUAAUUAGUUAUUUGCAUACAUAGCCACAGAAAACAGCAUAGAAAUUAUCUGCAGCUAACAGCAAAUGUUAAACAGCUGAUGUAAAAUGCCUGAGGUCUGUGUACUGCUGAAUGAUUGGAGGUCCUGCUGUUCCAUAAAGAUGUGAAUGUGUUUGAAAAGGUGUGAUUUUAAUCUUUACUCUCAAACACUUAAACAGCUGAAAGAAUAAAAACUAAAACUGUCAGGAGCAGGUUAAGCAUGACUUUACUAAAUCCAGUGAAUGGAGCACAAACUGUAGAUGAUUUGAAGCUGAAACCCAGAACAUAAUCUCCUCCUGACAGUUUAUUUUUAUCCUUUCAGCUGCAUUUUAAAUAUAACAACAAAAUUCAAAUUCAAAUUUGAUAUGAAGCCAGCAAGUGCAGUGCAGGUGUCCUGUUUUUGAUUGUUUAGAACAAUCAAACAGGCGUAAAAUUGUUUGCUGCUAAAACAAAAAGAAGAUCAACGAGUAAAGUUGAGUUUAGAAAUUUAAAUUUAGACCCUCCUACUCUCACUACAGAUGUCCGAGGGAUCUUCCAUGAAUUAUGAUGCUAUUUUCCAGAGAAUUGAUUGGUCAGUAGGCUGUGAUGUUUAUAACUGUUGAUUUCACACAACAUAAGUUACCAUGACGAUUUACCCCGGUAAGAAGAAAACCACGUUUAGUACAGAAAACCCUGAAGUUACCUGAAUACGGCAAAAUCAGUGGUUUGUACUGUAUGUUUCAUUGCAUUGUUAUUCUACUUCUUUGUUAGUCAGUGGUUUGUUUGUUUGUCAGGACAUUGCGAACCACAUUUUUUUUUUUUUUUUUUUUUUUUUUUUUUU